rnacentral:tRNA from 1 species
GGGGGAUUAGCUCAGUUGGCUAGAGCGCUUGCUUUGCACGCAAGAGGUCAUCGGUUCGACUCCGAUAUUCUCCAC